CGGGCAAUGAAUACAGGGGAGGUAAGAUUUUGAUCAUGAGAGCCAGAACUAGUGAUUCCUUUUUUGGAACCGGUUACCGAUUCUGGGUUUCAUGAGUUUCACAUCAAAAGUUUGAUGGAACUCCUUCAUUCUUGGAGCUUCUAGGUCUGGAGACGGCAAUUGCGACGUUUGCGGGGGCGCCACCGCCGAGUUGCCGGAUACGGUGGGGGAAAAGUCAAUCAGCAUCUCGUCGAAGCUGACGAUUAGAGAGGAGUACGUUGAUCCGCCAUUGGAGGCCAUCUUAUGGUAAUCGGGAGAAAGAGUUGCAAGGGGGUAGAAGAAGAACUUAAACAUGAAUGGGUGGGUAUUGCUCAUUUUUAUUUUAUAGGAGGAAAAUGACUUGGAGUUUAUUUUAUCUGCUAUUUUUUGUAAAUUGGAUUUUAUCCUUCGUCUCCCAGAUUUGGGUUUGUAUGAAAGAAGAAGUAUGAAGCGUUGUCUGUGUAGGAAGAAGAGAAAAUAUAUGAUUACUAUUCCUUGUCUCUAUUUGCUUGAUCGCCGAUUGAAUUCGAUUCUGUGAAUUUUCG
rnacentral:lncRNA from 1 species